GCAGCGUGGUUGAGUGGUAGUGUGCGGUACUUCGGUCCUCGUACACUCUGGUUCAAU
rnacentral:sRNA from 1 species